rnacentral:rRNA from 1 species
AUUGAACGCUGGCGGCAGGCCUAACACAUGCAAGUCGAGCGAGCGGCGGACGGGUGAGUAAUGUAUGGGGACUGCCCGCUAGAGGGGGAUGACUACUGGAAACGGUGGCUAAUACUGCAUACUAUCGGAUAACCCAUAUGGGAUUAGCUAGUAGGUGGGGUAAAGGCUCACCUAGGCGACGAUCUCUAGCUGGGCUGAGAGGAUGAUCAGCCACACUGGAACUGAGACACGGCCCAGACUACUCCGGAGGCAGCAGUGGGGAAUAGUGCACAGUGGGCGAAAGCCUGAUGCAGCCAUGCCGCGUGUAGUAAGAAGGCCUUAGGGUUUGAAAGUACUUUCAGCGGGGAGGCGUUACCCGCAGAAGAAGCACCGGCUAACUCCGUGCCAGCAGCCGCGGUAAUAC